rnacentral:rRNA from 1 species
UACGUAGGGUGCAAGCGUUAAUCGGAAUUACUGGGCGUAAAGCGUGCGCAGGCGGUUUUGUAAGUCUGUCGUGAAGUCCCCGGGCUCAACCUGGGAAUUGCGAUGGAGACUGCAAGGCUAGAAUCUGGCAGAGGGGGGUAGAAUUCCACGCGUAGCAGUGAAAUGCGUAGAGAUGUGGAGGAACACCGAUGGCGAAGGCAGCCCCCUGGGUCAAGAUUGACGCUCAUGCACGAAAGCGUGGGGAGCAAACAGG